rnacentral:rRNA from 1 species
GACGAACGCUGGCGGCGUGCCUAAUACAUGCAAGUCGAACGCUGAAGAGAGGAGCUUGCUCUUCUUGGAUGAGUUGCGAACGGGUGAGUAACGCGUAGGUAACCUGCCUUGUAGCGGGGGAUAACUAUUGGAAACGAUAGCUAAUACCGCAUAACAAUGGAUGACACAUGUCAUUUAUUUGAAAGGGGCAAUUGCUCCACUACAAGAUGGACCUGCGUUGUAUUAGCUAGUAGGUGAGGUAACGGCUCACCUAGGCGACGAUACAUAGCCGACCUGAGAGGGUGAUCGGCCACACUGGGACUGAGACACGGCCCAGACUCCUACGGGAGGCAGCAGUAGGGAAUCUUCGGCAAUGGGGGCAACCCUGACCGAGCAACGCCGCGUGAGUGAAGAAGGUUUUCGGAUCGUAAAGCUCUGUUGUAAGUCAAGAACGGGUGUGAGAGUGGAAAGUUCACACUGUGACGGUAGCUGACCAGAAAGGGACGGCUAACUACGUG